rnacentral:rRNA from 1 species
GAUGAACGCUGGCGGCGUGCCUAAUACAUGCAAGUCGAGCGAACAGACGAGGAGCUUGCUCCUUUGACGUUAGCGGCGGACGGGUGAGUAACACGUGGGUAACCUACCUAUAAGACUGGGAUAACUUCGGGAAACCGGAGCUAAUACCGGAUAAUAUUUCGAACCGCAUGGUUCGAUAGUGAAAGAUGGCUUUGCUAUCACUUAUAGAUGGACCUGCGCCGUAUUAGCUAGUUGGUAAGGUAACGGCUUACCAAGGCAACGAUACGUAGCCGACCCGAGAGGGUGAUCGGCCACACUGGAACUGAGACACGGUCCAGACUCCUACGGGAGGCAGCAGUAGGGAAUCUUCCGCAAUGGGCGAAAGCCUGACGGAGCAACGCCGCGUGAGUGAUGAAGGUCUUCGGAUCGUAAAACUCUGUUAUUAGGGAAGAACAAACGUGUAAGUAACUGUGCACGUCUUGACGGUACCUAAGCAGAAAGCCACGGCUAACUACGU